rnacentral:rRNA from 1 species
GAUGAACGCUAGCGGGAGGCUUAACACAUGCAAGUCGAGGGGCAUCACGAGGUAGCAAUACCUUGGUGGCGACCGGCGCACGGGUGAGUAACACGUAUGCAACCUUCCCUGUACAGGGGGAUAACCCGGAGAAAUUCGGACUAAUACCCCAUGAUGAUAUUUAUGGGCAUCCAUUAAUAUUUAAAGCUCUGGCGGUACAGGAUGGGCAUGCGCGACAUUAGCUAGUUGGUAAGGUAACGGCUUACCAAGGCGACGAUGUUUAGGGGACCUGAGAGGGUUGUCCCCCACACUGGUACUGAGACACGGACCAGACUCCUACGGGAGGCAGCAGUGAGGAAUAUUGGUCAAUGGGCGCAAGCCUGAACCAGCCAUCCCGCGUGAAGGAAGAAUGCGCUACGCGUUGUAAACUUCUUUUCCAGGGGGAGAAUAAUCCUGUCGUGACAGGACUUGACGGUACUCUGGGAAUAAGCAUCGGCUAACUCCGUG